GGCCUUUCUUCCAGCCCGAGUCCAUUUCUGAAAUUGGAGGGAAUAUUCCCCUUAGAAUAUUUUGUUAACUCCCAGUUAACUUUAACAGAAUAUUCCGUUAAAUUUAACUGUUGACUUAUGUUAACUUUUUUGAAAUUUUUUCGGAAACCCUCCUAGGCUAAUUUUGACAUCCCGAGUCCAUUUUUGAUAUCCAUUUAGGAAAAUUAUGAAGUUUUAACAUAGUUGAUCAUUGGG
rnacentral:lncRNA from 1 species